rnacentral:rRNA from 1 species
GAUGAACGCUAGCGGCAGGCUUAAUACAUGCAAGUCGAGGGGUCAGCAAUGACACCGGCGGACGGGUGCGUAACGCGUAUGCAACCUACCUACAUCAGGGGGAUAGCCCUAGGAAACUGGGAUUAACACCGCAUAAUAUUAUUAAUGGCAUCAUUGAUAAUUGAAAUAUUUAUAGGAAGUAGAUGGGCAUGCGUAAGAUUAGCUAGUUGGUAAGGUAACGGCUUACCAAGGCUACGAUCUUUAGGGGCUCUGAGAGGAGUAUCCCCCACACUGGCACUGAGAUACGGGCCAGACUCCUACGGGAGGCAGCAGUAGGGAAUAUUGGGCAAUGGAGGCAACUCUGACCCAGCCAUGCCGCGUGCAGGAAGACGGCCCUCUGGGUUGUAAACUGCUUUUGAAUGGGAAGAAUGUGUGGCUUGCGAGCUAAUAAUGACGGUACCAUUAGAAUAAGCCACGGCUAACUACGUGCCAGCAGCCGCGGUAAAA